UCUGGUGGCACAGCGAUGGGGAAACACCUGGUCCCAUUCCGCACCCAGAAGUUAAGCCCGUUUGCGCCGAUGAUACUCUUUAUGGGGAAAGUAGGUCGCCGCCAGUU
rnacentral:rRNA from 1 species